AGUGGAUGGGGAGCAACCUAGUUGUGCGUGUGUAAAGGUAGUGCCAAGAAAAGCGAUGAUCAUGUUGAAAAUCAAUUCCCGGUACCCGAAACCGACACAGGUGGGCAAGUAGAGAAUACUAAGGGGCGCGAGGUAACUCUCUCCAAGGAACUCGGCAAAAUGACCCCGUAACUUAGGGAGAAGGGGUGCCACCGAGAGGUGGUCGCAGUGAAGAGGCCCAGGCGACUGUUUAGCAAAAACAUAGGUCUCUGCAAACUCGAAAGAGGAGGUAUAGGGGCUGACGCCUGCCCAGUGCCGGAAGGUUAAAGAAGUUGGUCAGUCUUAGGAUGAAGCUAGCGACUGAAGCCCCGGUGAACGGCGGCCGUAACUAUAACGGUCCUAAGGUAGCGAAAUUCCUUGUCGGGUAAGUUCCGACCCGCACGAAAGGCGUAACGAUCUGGGCGCUGUCUCGGAGAGAGGCUCGGCGAAAUAGGAUUGUCUGUGAAGAUACGGACUACCUGCAUUUGGACAGAAAGACCCUAUGAAGCUUUACUAUAGCUUGGAAUUGUGUUCGGGCUUCCUGUGCGCAGGAUAGGUGGGAGGCGUAGAAGGUAUUCUUGUGGGGAUACUGGAGCCAACGGUGAGAUACCACUCUCAGGAGGCUAGAAUUCUAACUUAAUUAAGGACAGUUUCAGGUGGGUAGUUUGACUGGGGCGGUCGCCUCCGAAAAGGUAACGGAGGCGUACAAAGGUUCCCUCAGACUGGUUGGAAAUCAGUCGAAGAGUGCAAAGGCAGAAGGGAGCUUGACUGCGAGAAGUACAGUUCGAGCAGUGGAAACACGGUCUUAGUGAUCCGACGGUGCUGUGUGGAAGGGCCGUCGCUCAACGGAUAAAAGUUACUCUAGGAUAACAGGCUGAUCUCCCCCAAGAGUUCACAUCGACGGGGAGGUUUGGCACCUCGAUGUCGGCUCAUCGCAACCUGGGGCGGAAGUACGUCCCAAGGGUUGGGCUGUUCGCCCAUUAAAGCGGUACGUGAGCUGGGUUCAGAACGUCGUGAGACAGUUCGGCCCAUAUCCGAUGUAGGCGAGAGAAUAUUGAGAGGAGCCUUCCUUAGUACGAGAGGACCGGGAAGGACGCACCGCUGGUGUACCUGUUAUGAUGCCAAUUGUAAACGCAGGGUAGCCAAGUGCGGAGAGGAUAACCGCUGAAAGCAUCUAAGUGGGAAGCCCACCUCAAGAUGAGUAUUCUGGUGUAAGGUCACGGGAAGACGACCCGUAAAUAGGCACGAGGUGGAAGUGCAGAGAUGUAUGAAGCCGAAGUGUACUAAUAGACCGUCGGCUUGACC
rnacentral:rRNA from 1 species